GUAAACAAGGGAGUUAGCAUAGUUUCCUUUCAAUACAGCACUCUUGAUAAAAUGUUUGUAGUAUAACAAAUAAAAACAUUUUCUUGGACUCUCCAGGAAAUUAAUGGCUUAUUUUUCCUGGCAGACUGAUGUGAGGGAUACUAAAUUACCUUCCACUGAUUAAAGACAAGCCACUGCCUCUAGGCAAAGAGAAAAAGAAAAGAAUUAACCAAGCCCUUAGCAAAAGGAGGCAGUGGUGAAAGUUAGGUAAACAAUUCGGAUCUUCUUUGAUCGGACAGUGCAGCUUCCAGAUGCCACAAAACGCUGAGAACCUGGAAGCUGCUCGGGAGACUUCUUAUGUGGAGAGGAACCUCGGCACUUUCUAAGGACCUACUCUGUGCUUGACUGUCACUUAAUUUCCCACCAAGCAAGUAUCCUGUAAGGCUUGUAAGCCGCCACCAAAGUGUAAGUGACAAUCCAGCAACAGCACCAUCCUCCCCAUUUGACCCUUCAAUCUACACUUCUAUAGAGCAGGCUGCCUCAAGUGUGAGCCCCAACCCAGCCCCACGGACCCCGAUGGCUCUGCAGUCUCACCUGGGCCCCUUCCUUCUCUCACUGGCCACUGUCAGCAGGAAGCAGAUACAAAAGAAAGAGAAACUUGCUCAUGUGUUGAAGAUCUGACUUGGUUGAUCUGCCAGAGAAGAAAAUGUAGAGGUCAAACAGGCAGAACAUGGAUUAAUCCAGUGACAGCACAGUUAGAGCCUCCUGAACUAUCAGCUGUCCUGAACCAGCAUGUACCAAAUGACCACAGUAUUCUGCACAGGCUAAAGGACAUGAAAAAGUAAAUAAUAAGCAUUACUUUGAUGGGAAACACUCAGGUUCUUCCCCUGUGUCUGUGGCCCUUUUCUUAGAGUUGAUGCACAUAGGUGUCCUCAUUGGGAGCCUUACGUGCCUUCUCUGAGAAUUAAAGUAGUGAUGACACCAAACUGACUUCUUUAACAUGUAACUAUUGUCCUACAGGUGCUCUUGUGACAUAGAAUGCAAGCUACCCUUUCUGAUGCUUGUUUUGACCACCUUGUUCCAUUUCCACAUCCUCAAACCCUUAUAAAAACUCAGCCUCUCACUGUAAUGGCAUGGUCCUUCUUGGACUUGCCCACUGCUCCCUCAUAGUGCAUCAAUAAAUUCUUAACUUUUCUGCAUUCCUUGAUUAUUGAUAAAUUAUUUUACUGCUCAUGAUACCAGCCAUUCACACACCACACCUCCCAAGCAGGUAUAUUGCAAAUUCUAGCCCAGCCCCUUAAAAAAUAUAUAAAGAAAAACACUUAUAGUAUACCAAGAAAUGAGAGAAAAUGAAUGAGGAAAUGCUUAAUUAAAACCAGAAAAGAGAGAAAAGAGGAUAAGACAAAGAGAUUUUUGAAACAAGAGUAAAGAAUAGAAAAAUAUAAUAAAUACAG
ensembl:lncRNA